CUGGGCGUAAAGCGUGCGCAGGCGGAUUGUUAAGCAAGAUGUGAAAUCCCCGGGCUUAACCUGGGAAUGGCAUUUUGAACUGGCAGUCUAGAGUGCGUCAGAGGGGGGUGGAAUUCCACGUGUAGCAGUGAAAUGCGUAGAGAUGUGGAGGAACACCAAUGGCGAAGGCAGCCCCCUGGGAUGACACUGACGCUCAUGUACGAAAGCGUGGGUAGCAAACAGGAUUAGAUACCCUGGUAGUCCACGCCCUAAACGAUGUCAACUGGUUGUUGGGGGAGUGAAAUCCCUUAGUAACGAAGCUAACGCGUGAAGUUGACCGCCUGGGGAGUACGGUCGCAAGAUUAAAACUCAAAGGAAUUGACGGGGACCCGCACAAGCGGUGGAUGAUGUGGAUUAAUUCGAUGCAACGCGAAAAACCUUACCUACCCUUGACAUGUCCGGAAUCCUGCAGAGAUGCGGGAGUGCUCGAAAGAGAACCGGAACGCAGGUGCUGCAUGGCUGUCGUCAGCUCGUGUCGUGAGAUGUUGGGUUAAGUCCCGCAACGAGCGCAACCCUUAUCAUUAGUUGCUACGCAAGGGCACUCUAAUGAGACUGCCGGUGACAAACCGGAGGAAGGUGGGGAUGACGUCAAGUCCUCAUGGCCCUUAUGGGUAGGGCUUCACACGUCAUACAAUGGUCGGUACAGAGGGUUGCCGAGCCGCGAGGUGGAGCCAAUCCCAG
rnacentral:rRNA from 1 species